rnacentral:tRNA from 1 species
GGAGAGAUGCCAGAGCGGUCGAAUGGGACGGUCUCGAAAACCGUUGUCCGUUUAAUGCGGACCGAGGGUUCGAAUCCCUCUCUCUCCG